ACAACCCUAACUUUCCAUCUUCUCUUUCACUUUCUCCCUGUGUGAAUCUCCUUUCAUAUUUUUAGUGUUUUUUUCCUGUGAUUAUUGAUUGGAUCCACAACAACUUCAAAGAUUUUUUUCUUCGGUCAAGCUUCUUGUGAUUAAGGCUCUUGAUCUUUCCCAUGCAAGUUACGAAAUUCUCUUGAACUAUUUCUGCAUAUUUUCUUCCCUCAAAAAGUUUAAGUUUUAUUGAUUUGUGAUUAAUUUUAGAUCACGGGUUUUCUAUAAUCAUCUGACAAGUUGUCAAGGAUUAAUCCUUUUAUGUUUUGAUAUAUAUUAAUUGGAUUGAAAUAUAUCUGGGAUUGAAAUAUCUCCAUUACCCUCUGCUGAUAACCGAUGGAGUACUAAAACCCUUUUUCCUCAGCCACCUUUUUUCUCCUCUUUAUACUCGUUAUCUCUGUCUCUUUUCUUCUUCCUUCAUCUAUUCUAAUUGCUUUUUUGUUGGGUUUACGCAGGUGCAGUUUUGCCUAAAAAGCAAAACUAACUAAAUACAAUAUUUUUAUCAUGAUGUAAACUCUUCUUUUCUCCACUGCCGAGUCACCAACUCAUCCCAUCUCGCCUCAAGCAGUCAGCAUAUAUACGUUUUGAUUUUGUUUUGUUCUUCUCCUAUGAUAGUUGAUUUAUUUACAAAACUAAUUUUUUUAUUUUUAUUUUUUUUUGUUGCAGAGAUUAAUGUGGAUUCACUGUAAGAGAAAUCCCAUCGAGACCAAGCUAGAAAUCCCAGCAUACAUAUUAUUUUCUUACCUAAAUGGUGGAGAAGUUGCAACAAAGGGUUUGUUUGAUUUUUCUUAUUCUUAGAUUCUUCGAUUUGGAAAGAUUGAUUCAAUGGGGUUUGUGUUGAGUUCUGAGAUUAUUCGAUUUGGGGAAGAUUGUAUGUUGUUUGAUUGCACAGAUUUAAAGAUCACUUAGAUUAAUCUUAGGGUUCUUCAAUUUUUAGUGGCAUGUUAUUGAUAUUACAGAAAACCCCAAGGUUCUGUUAGGGUUUUCUUCUCAUACACAAUAUUUGAUAUUUACCUCACCAGGUUUGUUUGUUUUGAUUCUGAUUGCAUUGGUGCAGUUAGAAAAAUGUCCAAGGUUUAAGAUGUUUGCAGUGAAAGAAAUUUAGAAGUUAGAUUAGUAUAAAUGCACACUUUCUUCUAAAAUUGAUUAUAUGUAGGCAUAAUCUUAUUCAAUAUGCGUGGAGAUUGUUUUAAAUCCUUGCAUAGACAUUUGGUAUCAAAGAUCAUGUUCGCCAUGGUGUCAAAGAAUCUGUUGCAGUCUAUAGGGUUGUUGGGAUCAUGUGAGGAUGGUUACAGGAGGCAGCAUAACCACUGCAAAGCCAAUUGCAACAGAAUGUGGAUUUUGACAGAAAUUACUCUCUGUUGGCCAUCCAAUAUUUGGGGAUAAUAGUUUGAAAAGAGUGAUUCUAAAAAUUCAGGUGAUGAUACAUGUAUCUGCAGCAAUGGAGAAGCCUACAAUUUUGUAUGAUUGAUGUAUUAGUUAUCCGCGUGACGGGACGAAGCAAAGGCGAAGCCGCGCGACACCAAAUCAAAAAUCCUAAGCGACGGGGCGAGGCGUAGCCGAGCCACACCAAAUCAAAAAGGCAUCCCGGUGGGGCGAAGCCAUGCAACACCAAAUCAAAAAUGCAUCGGGACGGGGCGAGGCGAAGCCGAGCCACACAUAUUAAAAAAUGUACCGCGACGGGGCAGGGGAAGCCCCACGAAACCUAAUAAAAAAUGCACGACGGGGCAAGGGGAAGCCAUAUCAUACAAAAUCAAAAAUAUGGUUAAAAAAAAGAUGCAUGUAACUUUUUGACUUUAGGAAAUAAUUUCAAUCGCAUGAUGGUGAAUGGUGAAUGAUGUGCAUAAAGGUUUAAGAAAUAAAAAAGUCGGCUAAUCAAUUUUAGGAUGAUUGGGCUGUAGUUAGUUAGGUUGCCCUUAUUAAAUUGAUGCAUCGGUAGAUGUCGAUACUUUUGACAAAGCAAAUUUAUACGAAAUUUUCACAUCCAGGGGUUAGUGAUUUUGAGAAAUGAACUACUACGAAAUGAAGUUUUAGUUCUUAGUCAACCCUAAUAAGAUGAUUCACUACCAAGUUCCUUCUGAUUUCAA